rnacentral:rRNA from 1 species
GACGAACGCUGGCGGCGUGCUUAACACAUGCAAGUCGAACGGAAAGGCCCUGCUUUUGUGGGGUGCUCGAGUGGCGAACGGGUGAGUAACACGUGAGUAACCUGCCCUUGACUUUGGGAUAACUUCAGGAAACUGGGGCUAAUACCGGAUAGGAGCUCCUGCUGCAUGGUGGGGGUUGGAAAGUUUCGGCGGUUGGGGAUGGACUCGCGGCUUAUCAGCUUGUUGGUGGGGUAGUGGCUUACCAAGGCUUUGACGGGUAGCCGGCCUGAGAGGGUGACCGGCCACAUUGGGACUGAGAGACGGCCCAGACUCCUACGGGAGGCAGCAGUGGGGAAUAUUGCACAAUGGGCGGAAGCCUGAUGCAGCAACGCCGCGUGAGGGAUGACGGCCUUCGGGUUGUAAACCGCUUUCGCCUGUGACGAAGCGUGAGUGACGGUAAUGGGUAAAGAAGCACCGGCUAACUACGUG